UACGGAGGGUGCAAGCGUUAAUCGGAAUUACUGGGCGUAAAGCGCACGCAGGCGGUUGUGCAAGACAGGUGUGAAAUCCCCGGGCUUAACCUGGGAAUUGCAUCCGUGACUGCACGGCUAGAGUGUGUCAGAGGGGGGUAGAAUUCCACGUGUAGCAGUGAAAUGCGUAGAUAUGUGGAGGAAUACCGAUGGCGAAGGCAGCCCCCUGGGAUAACACUGACGCUCAUGCACGAAAGCGUAGGUAGCGAACAGG
rnacentral:misc_RNA from 1 species